UUUUAAAAAAUGUUUUCCCAUUAUUUCCAGGAAGAAGUAAAAACCAGUUUGCUUAAGAUUGCCACUUAUCUAACAAUCCUGUGUGGACAUCCUAUGUGUAAGAUGCUGGGAAGACAAAAUAAAUAAGACUUGAUUAUUUUCCUAUGAAAUGCACGAUCUGACUGGAAAGCUGGACAUGUCAACAGUGAAACAUAACACAGUGUGAGAAGAACUAAACUAAUGAACCAAGUCCCUGGCUAAUAAAUAGGGAGGAAUCAAUUCUGUCUGGCCGUCUUCAGUAAUCAUUCAUUCGCUCGUUCAGUGUCCAUUGGUUCAGAGAAUAAGGAACUUGUGAGAAAGAAGCCAAUGACCGAAGGAAAAAGGCGGAGAGAAAUGACAGAUGAAAGCAGUUGAUGGCACAAGGAUGCAGAGCCAUGAGUGCUCCCCGAAGCUCAGGAAACAGGGUCACCUUAUUGCCGCUGCUUAUAACAUAGACGAAUGCAGAUGAGCAAAAUACAUCAAUGUCCGAGGUGCCAACGUGGCUCAACUGAAGAGGUAUCGGCAACAGGACUUUGCAGAACUCCAGGGAGGUGACAUAUUCCAAGGCAGGAAUCGAUAAAGAAUGUUCUCAGAGACGGAGGACUCGCACCCUGAGACAUCAAGUAUUUCUCAGCUCUGUUACUCUCAGACAGCAGAGAGGGGCUUCUCAAGCGAGGGGCUGUUCCAGGAUCACUUAGGGGUGCUUUCAAAGCACAGAGGCCACCGGCCAACUCUCUUCCCACCUCCUCCAAACUCCUCCUUGGAGGACUCUGAGAAGCUGCUCUGGUCAAGAGCCAUGCUCUGAAGAAAAUGUCUUAUAACCAAAGUCUUUGCAGCAUUUUCCUUCUU